rnacentral:rRNA from 1 species
AGAGUUUGAUCAUGGCUCAGAACGAACGCUGGCGGCGCGCCUAAUACAUGCAAGUCGAGCGAGAAGGUGUAGCAAUACACUUGUAAAGCGGCGAACGGGUGAGGAAUGCAUGGGUAAUCUACCAUCGAGUGGGGAAUAACCAGCCGAAAGGCUGGCUAAUACCGCGUACGCUUCCGGGUUUUCGGGUCCGGAAGGAAAGCCAUGCCGUGGGUAUGGCGCUCUUUGAUGAGCUCAUGUCCUAUCAGCUUGUUGGUAGGGUAACGGCCUACCAAGGCUUUGACGGGUAGCUGGUCUGAGAGGACGAUCAGCCACACUGGCACUGCGACACGGGCCAGACUCCUACGGGAGGCAGCAGUAAGGAAUAUUGCGCAAUGGGCGACAGCCUGACGCAGCGACGCCGCGUGGGGAUGAAGGUCUUCGGAUUGUAAACCCCUUUCGGGAGGGAAGAUGGGGCAGGUAACUGCUCGGACGGUACCUCCAGAAGCAGCCACGGCCAACUUCGUGCCAGCAGCCGCGGUAAUACGAAGGUGGCAAGCGUUGUUCGGAUUCACUGGGCGUACAGGGUGUGUAGGCGGUUUGGUAAGCCUUCUGUUAAAUCUUCGGGCCCAACCCGGAAAGCGCAGAGGGGACUGCCAGGCUAGAGGGCGGGAGAGGAGCGCGGAAUUCCCGGUGUAGCGGUGAAAUGCGUAGAGAUCGGGAGGAAGGCCGGUGGCGAAGGCGGCGCUCUGGAACGUACCUGACGCUGAGACACGAAAGCGUGGGGAGCAAACAGGAUUAGAUACCCUGGUAGUCCACGCCCUAAACUAUGGAUACUAAGUGUCGGCGGGUUACCGCCGGUGCCGCAGCUAACGCAUUAAGUAUCCCGCCUGGGAAGUACGGCCGCAAGGUUGAAACUCAAAUGAAUGACGG